AGUACCGUGAGGGAAAGGUGAAAAGCACCCCGGAAGGGGAGUGAAAUAGAACCUGAAACCGUGUGCUUACAAGUAGUCAGAGCCCGUUAAUGGGUGAUGGCGUGCCUUUUGUAGAAUGAACCGGCGAGUUACGAUUUGAUGCAAGGUUAAGCAGUAAAUGUGGAGCCGUAGCGAAAGCGAGUCUGAAUAGGGCGUUUAGUAUUUGGUCGUAGACCCGAAACCAGGUGAUCUACCCUUGGUCAGGUUGAAGUUCAGGUAACACUGAAUGGAGGACCGAACCGACUUACGUUGAAAAGUGAGCGGAUGAACUGAGGGUAGCGGAGAAAUUCCAAUCGAACCUGGAGAUAGCUGGUUCUCUCCGAAAUAGCUUUAGGGCUAGCCUCAAGUGAUGAUUAUUGGAGGUAGAGCACUGUUUGGACGAGGGGCCCCUCUCGGGUUACCGAAUUCAGACAAACUCCGAAUGCCAAUUAAUUUAACUUGGGAGUC
rnacentral:rRNA from 1 species